GACCUCGUAGCUCAGUUGGCUAGAGCAUUGGCUGUACUAAAGCCUUCCUGGUGCUGAAGUCGGUUCGAAUCCCACCGAGGCCG
rnacentral:tRNA from 1 species